rnacentral:rRNA from 1 species
ACGGAGGGUCCAAGCGUUAUCCGGAUUUAUUGGGUUUAAAGGGUACGUAGGCGGAACUUUAAGUCAGUAGUGAAAUCCCAUCGCUCAACGAUGGAACUGCUAUUGAUACUGAAGUUCUUGAAUAUACUUGAAGUGGGCGGAAUACGACAUGUAGCGGUGAAAUGCAUAGAGAUGUCGUAGAACACCGAUUGCGAAGGCAGCUCACUAAGGUAUUAUUGACGCUAAUGUACGAAAGCGUGGGGAGCGAACAGG